GACCCUUGGGUGGUUCCCAUCUGAAAAGGGGGGCUGGGCGGCGGGCCUAAUACAUGCAAGUCGAACGCAGUCGACCUUCGGGUCAUAUGACUGAGUGGCGAACGGGUGAGUAACACGUGAGAAACCUGCCCCGAAGACUGGAAUAACCCGAGGAAACUCGGGCUAAUACCGGAUGUCCCCAGAUGGCCGCAUGGCCGACUGAGGAAAUGCUCCGGCGCUUUGGGAGGGUCUCGCGGCCUAUCAGCUUGUUGGUGAGGUAACGGCUCACCAAGGCUUCGACGGGUAGCUGGUCUGAGAGGACGAUCAGCCACACUGGGACUGAGAUACGGCCCAGACUCCUACGGGAGGCAGCAGUAGGGAAUCUUGCGCAAUGGGCGAAAGCCUGACGCAGCCACGCCGCGUGAGUGAUGAAGGCCUUCGGGUCGUAAAGCUCUUUCAGCAGGGACGAAAAUGACGGUACCUGCAGAAGAAGCCCCGGCCAACUACGUGCCAGCAGCCGCGGUAACACGUAGGGGGCAAGCGUUGUCCGGAUUUAUUGGGCGUAAAGGGCUCGUAGGCUGUUCAGUAAGUCAGGUGUGAAAACUCGAGGCUCAACCUCGAGACGCCACUUGAUACUGCUGUGACUAGAGUUCGGUAGAGGAGUGUGGAAUUCCUAGUGUAGCGGUGAAAUGCGCAGAUAUUAGGAGGAACACCAACAGCGAAGGCAGCACUCUGGGCCGAUACUGACGCUGAGGAGCGAAGCGUGGGGAGCGAACAGGAUUAGAUACCCUGGUAGUCCACGCCGUAAACGGUGGGCACUAGAUGUGGGAUCCAGUCAACGGAUUCGCGUCGUAGCUAACGCAUUAAGUGCCCCGCCUGGGGGAGUACGGGCGCAGGCUAAACUCAAAGGAAUUGACGGGGCCCGCACAAGCGGCGGGAGCAUUGUUGCUUAAUCGAGGCACGCGAAGAACUUACUGGGUUGACAUGUAGGGAAAGCAUAGAAUUGGGUGUCUAGGGCUACCAGGUGGUGCAUGCUGUCUCAACUCUGGUCCGUGGAAAGUUUGGGUUAAUUC
rnacentral:rRNA from 1 species